rnacentral:rRNA from 1 species
CGUACACGGUGGAUGCCCUGGCAGUCAGAGGCGAUGAAGGGCGUGCUAAUCUGCGAUAAGCGCCGGUAAGGUGAUAUGAACCGUUAUAACCGGCGAUACCCGAAUGGGGAAACCCAGUGUGACUCGUCACACUAUCAUUAACUGAAUCCAUAGGUUAAUGAGGCGAACCGGGGGAACUGAAACAUCUAAGUACCCCGAGGAAAAGAAAUCAACCGAGAUUCCCCCAGUAGCGGCGAGCGAACGGGGAGGAGCCCAGAGCCUGAAUCAGCAUGUGUGUUAGUGGAAGCGUCUGGAAAGGCGCGCGAUACAGGGUGACAGCCCCGUACACAAAAGCGCAUGUGCUGUGAGCUCGAUGAGUAGGGCGGGACACGUGGUAUCCUGUCUGAAUAUGGGGGGACCAUCCUCCAAGGCUAAAUACUCCUGACUGACCGAUAGUGAACCAGUACCGUGAGGGAAAGGCGAAAAGAACCCCGGCGAGGGGAGUGAAAAAGAACCUGAAACCGUGUACGUACAAGCAGUGGGAGCACCCUUUGGGUGUGACUGCGUACCUUUUGUAUAAUGGGUCAGCGACUUAUAUUCUGUAGCAAGGUUAACCGAAUAGGGGAGC